AGAUAAUCAGUGCCCCCCGGCAUGGCUCCAUCAUCUAUCACCCGUCACUGCUCCCUAGGCACCGAGGGGCCUCGGCCAUCAACUGGACCCUCAUUCACGGAGAUAAGAAAGGGGGGUUUUCCAUCUUCUGGGCGGAUGAUGGUCUGGACACCGGAGACCUGCUGCUGCAGAAGGAGUGUGAGGUGCUCCCGGACGACACCGUGAGCACGCUGUACAACCGCUUCCUCUUCCCUGAAGGCAUCAAAGGGAUGGCCGUGAGGCUGAUCUCUGAGGGCAAAGCCCCCAGACUCCCUCAGCCUGAGGAAGGAGCCACCUAUGAGGGGAUUCAGAAGAAGGAGACGGCCAAGAUCAACUGGGACCAGCCGGCAGAGGCCAUUCACAACUGGAUCCGCGGGAAUGACAAGGUGCCGGGAGCCUGGACAGAGGCCUGUGAACAGAAACUGACAUUUUUCAACUCAACGCUGAACACUUCAGGCCUGGUGCCCGAGGGAGACGCUUUGCCCAUCCCAGGAGCCCAUCGGCCAGGGGUGGUCACCAAAGCAGGACUCAUCCUCUUUGGGAAUGAUGACAAAAUGGUAAGGGCACGGCUGUGGGUCACUUGCCUGCUCAAAGCCACCCAUGCUCCUGUCCUUGGACUCAGGCCUCACAGGAAGACCCUAGGCUCCUCUGGAGAAAAUGGAAAAAACCAGACCCAGGGAGGAACACUGACCCUGAUUUGUCCCUGACCGCCCGGCUGGUCCUGAGCACAGGUUGUCCGAGGCAGUUUACCCACUUCUCUGUUCUGGGAAAGCUGGGCUCCCUACCCUUCCUGGCUAGGCACCCAUCUCCAGGCUGAGUGCCCUGUGUGGGUGUCAGGCAACCUAGAAUCAGAGAGAAGCCCUCCCAGGGAGCCUGGGUUCAGGGCCUCUCUUAGGUCUAUCAGAAGCACCUCUGGGUGUGGGGUCAUUAAGCCUCUGUGCCUCAGCUCCCAUCUCUUUGAACGGCGAUGCCAUGGUGACUUAGCACGUGCAGAGCCUUGGGAGCCAUGCCGGCCACCUGCUCUUGUUAUUAGCAGACUACAACUCACGGUACCAGCAAACACUGAUGGAGCACCUUUUAUACCAGAACAAUGUAUACGCGUUAAAUUUAAUCUGCCUAACAACAGUAUGAGAUAUGUAUAAAUAUUAUAUCCUUAUAGAGGAAAAAAACAGAGAUUUAAAUAACUUGUCCAGGAUCAUCCAAGCUAGCCCGUGGCAGAGCUGGGAUUCAGACUCUGAAAUUCUGGCUCCAAAGCCGUGAUGCUGGUCUUGGCCAUGGUAGCUUCCUGUUCAUAUGCACUCUACUACUCCUUCUCACAUGAGCAGCCAGGGGUAGGGAGAGGGCAGGCAGGGAUCUUCCCACACACUGACAGGGUCCGGACAAACCCCAUGGGCGUGGUACCCCCAGCCGUGUUGCUGUGUCCGGCCUACCAGAGUGAGGCGUGGCAGUAUGGGGCCUGGCCUUUGCUGGCUCUUGGUGUCCAGUCUGCCAUGCUCCCCUGUCAGAAGGUCUAGGCUGCUGUUGAUGUCUGCAAUGUAGUGUUUUGGGUAUCCAAGAUUGAUAUGUGCAGUUGCAAGAGAAUAUCUGUCUGUGGUCAGGUUCCCUAGAAGCAGCAUCUAAGGUAAAAAUUCUUGUGCAAGUGAUUUAUUGAGGGAAUGUUCCAGAAAAUCAUGCCAGGCAGUAAGGGCAGAGGAAAGCAAAGCAAAAGUAAAGGUUCAGGAGAAGUCUAGCCUGGGGCUGCUCCCAGGGUGGGUUUUGGAGUAUUAACUGCACCCUCCAAUUAUACCUGCCUGUCCCCACCUCUGUCAGCCUUUGGUUUCAGUGGCCCCUGGGGUGGGGUGGAGAACCCACCAGGCAUAGUCCCUCGGCCUCUUUGUGUACAGGAGCUCUUAUCCAUCCACAGCAAGCAAGGAUGGGACAGUGCAGGCCGUUAUCAUCCAGCCCUUGCUGCAGCUGGAGGACAGGGCACCAGCCACAGGGGUCUGAGCAGGGCACCCACAGCAUCUGCCCAGAGACCUGCAAAGACAGGAACGCAAAGAAGGCAACUAAGUGUCUUAAGAGGAAGCUGGGGUUAUCGGCUCUCUCACAAGAGCUUUGUCCACUGUCCAGAGGUGGUCAGGGUGGGAGGGGAGUGAGGAGAGACCAGCUGAGCACACACACCCUGCUCCCCACAGAUCAACCCAGAAGACCCUGGGUUGAAGCAUCUCUCAGCCACGCCCUGUGGAGUCUGGCUGGGCUUUAGCUUGCAGAAAGCUCCAGAACAUCUUUGAAAGGCAAUGGGGCGAGGGUCAGGCCGAGAGGCAAGUUCCAGUUCUGGCAGAGCAUGCAUAGAGAGUACCAUUCUUACACAGCCACUCUUAACGCAUAGAGACAUGCACCCACCCAUGAGCUUAUCCGUAACUCUUUUUUUACAUGUGUUUUUUUUCCUGGCCCCUAACAAAAGCAUUUGUUGAAAAACUAUCGAUAAACAAGCAGGCCCCAAACAAUUCAAACAUCUUAUUAAAUACAGUAAAUCUGAGGGAGACACUAGAGUAUCCCAGAGUCAUGAGCUACAAUGGGGGCAGUUCAUGUCUGGCAGCCAGAAUCCCCUUGAACUGAUGGCUGGACGCAGGCUCUACCCGGGACCAGCUUGAAGUGCUAUCCUGAAGCUGCAGACUGCAGGGCCGGCCAGACCCUUUUUCAGCCUCUCCUCUUCCCACCUCUGCAUCCCACACAGGCAUCUGGUGAUGUUCUCCAGGUGUUUCUGUGGCAGUUCUGGGAGCUACUGGGUGAUUGCAAGAUUAGUUGUUUUUCUAAGUUGACUUUCUAUGUGGUGCCUGAAUGACGUUUGCUUUUUUUGUUCAGUAGGAAUCCUUUUUUACAGAAGUAAUAAAGUCAUUACACUUAAAAACAAA
rnacentral:sRNA from 1 species